GCGUCGGUAGUGCAACGGUUCAGCACGCGCGCUCAGAAAGAGUGAGAUCUGGAUUCGAAACUCCAGCUGACGUA